UUGAACGCUGGCGGCAGGCCUAACCCAUGCCAGUCGAGCGGAUGAAGGGAGCUUGCUCCUGGAUUCAGCGGCGGACGGGUGAGUAAUGCCUAGGAAUCUGCCUGGUAGUGGGGGAUAACGUCCGGAAACGGGCGCUAAUACCGCAUACGUCCUGAGGGAGAAAGUGGGGGAUCUUCGGACCUCACGCUAUCAGAUGAGCCUAGGUCGGAUUAGCUAGUUGGUGGGGUAAAGGCCUACCAAGGCGACGAUCCGUAACUGGUCUGAGAGGAUGAUCAGUCACACUGGAACUGAGACACGGUCCAGACUCCUACGGGAGGCAGCAGUGGGGAAUAUUGGACAAUGGGCGAAGGCCUGAUCCAGCCAUGCCGCGUGUGUGAAGAAGGUCUUCGGAUUGUAAAGCACUUUAAGUUGGGAGGAAGGGCAGUAAGUUAAUACCUUGCUGUUUUGACGUUACCAACAGAAUAAGCACCGGCUAACUUCGUG
rnacentral:rRNA from 1 species